GGAGACAAUCUCAUCAGAACUGUUGAGGUGACAGACAGUUCACAGCAUCGUACAUUGGAGUGCUGAUCAGAAAUGAGUUUCUUUCCUCUUCCUCAACUGAACGCAUAAUAGUGGGUACAGAGGUGAACUGGUGGUAUAUCCUUGCUUGAGCAAACACAGGGGUCAUGUUCCGGAACAUUCAGGAAGUCAGUGUGCAAGCAGGUGACAGAUUGGAGUUACAACUUGUGGCUGCUGAUGACCAGUCCAGAUGUGCUUUCCCCAGCCCAGUGUCCUUAGAAGAUUUGGGGCCAUGAAUGAGCCCAGCGGAGCUGGAGCGCUGACCUAAGUCCUGCAAAGCAGGUGUCUUGGGACCAUGGAGCUGCCACUCUGAUGGAUGGAUGGAGCUGCCUCCAGCUGUUUGAGCCUUUCCAGCCUCUGGUGGAGAGAGGGACAUGGACUUCACACGUGUUUAUUUAGGAGGAGAAGGAGGGAGCAACAGAACCCUGCUGAAGACGGAACUGGAGUGUGACAUGGAUCCGAGGUGGGGAACAAUGGAACCAUCCUUCCCUAAAGAGCCACGUCUAAUCUCUCGCAAAAGGCCUCUCAGUGCUCCUUGUAUGGUCUCCACCAAGCCAAGCCAACCACCAAGCAAGCCAAGGACUCUCCACCCCAUGGGACCCAGCUGGAGUUCUCACCUCUUUUCCUCUAUGGCCCCAGAAUAGAUCCAGCCCACGGGACCCCACUCUGUUCUCAGCUCUUCCGCGGCAUCCAGUGGCAUCUGGGGUACCCAAGAGCCUGAGAACUAGGCAGCCCCAGCCUCUGUGCAGGCCCGGGGACCCCUGAUCCAGCCCCAGCUAUCCCUGGGAACCUCAGACUGUGCUCCCCCACCCCCGGGUGGGGUCCAGUGACUUCACAUAGCCUAACACCGACCCAGCGCUGGCGUGGGGUGAGUGCAGUCAAAACUCCCUGUGUCCUGCCUCCCUCAAUAGCCCAAGCCCUGUGGCAGAGUGGACACCCCAUAACCCAACACUUGGGGUCUUCUCCCAGCACUCUGUCCCAUAUGGAAGAUCUCCUGUGAAUAACCCAGAAAUCUUGCAAUGUUGCACAUGGAGACCGGAUAUUCUUAACAAUUUUUCUAUCUUCACCUUUGAAUUUCAGGGAGUAAACUUCUAACAGGACAUAUAUUUCAGCUUAAUUCUUAAAGGAAGGA